AUGCAAGCGUGAAGCGGGGAACCUCCCUGAGAAGGGAGGGGCUCUCCUAGUCCACUCACACAUACGCAUAACCAAACUGUGAAACCACCUUUUGCUUCGGCAGCAGGGAGUCUGCGUCGGCCCGCCUCGUCGCGGUGUCCCUCCUUCGCCUGUCAGCCUGCCGGAAGCCCACAAUCCAAAACCAUUCUGUAGAAACGUCAGUGGAAAGAAUAAACAAAAAAAAACAAGUUA
rnacentral:misc_RNA from 1 species